AGCGAACGCUGGCGGCAGGCCUAACACAUGCAAGUCGAACGGACCUUUCGGGGUUAGUGGCGGACGGGUGAGUAACACGUGGGAACGUGCCUUUAGGUUCGGAAUAGCUCCUGGAAACGGGUGGUAAUGCCGAAUGUGCCCUUAGGGGGAAAGAUUUAUCGCCUUUAGAGCGGCCCGCGUCUGAUUAGCUAGUUGGUGAGGUAAUGGCUCACCACGGCUACGAUCAGUAGCUGGUCUGAGAGGAUGACCAGCCACAUUGGGACUGAGACACGGCCAAAACUCCGACGGGAGGCAGCAGUGGGGAAUCUUGCGCAAUGGGAGAAAGCCUGACGCAGCCAUGCCGCGUGGAUGAUGAAGGUCUUAGGAUUGUAAAAUCCUUUCACCGGUGAAGAUAAUGACGGUAGCGGGAGAAGAAGCCCCGGCUAACUUCGUGCCAGCCGCCGCGGUAA
rnacentral:rRNA from 1 species